rnacentral:rRNA from 1 species
UACAGAGGAUGCAAGCGUUAUCCGGAAUGAUUGGGCGUAAAGCGUCUGUAGGUGGCUUUUUAAGUCCGCCGUCAAAUCCCAGGGCUCAACUCUGGACAGGCGGUGGAAACUACCAAGCUGGAGUACGGUAGGGGCAGAGGGAAUUUCCGGUGGAGCGGUGAAAUGCGUAGAUAUGCGGAGGAACACCGAUGGCGAAGGCAAUCCCCUGGGCCUGCACCGACGUUCAGGCACGAAAGCGUGGGGAGCAAACAGG